CCAGACUCCUACGGGAGGCAGCAGUGGGGAAUAUUGGGCAAUGGGCGCAAGCCUGACCCAGCAACGCCGCGUGAAGGAAGAAGGCUUUCGGGUUGUAAACUUCUUUUCUCAGGGACGAAGCAAGUGACGGUACCUGAGGAAGAAGCCCCGGCUAACUACGUGCCAGCAGCCGCGGUAAUACGUAGGGGGCGAGCGUUAUCCGGAUUCACUGGGUGUAAAGGGAGCGUAGACGGCCAUGCAAGCCAGGGGUGAAAGCCCGGGGCCCAACCCCGGGACUGCCCUUGGAACUGUGCGGCUAGAGUGCGGGAGGGGCAGGCGGAAUUCCUGGUGUAGCGGUGAAAUGCGUAGAUAUUAGGAGGAACACCAGUGGCGAAGGCGGCUUACUGGACGGCAACUGACGCUGAGGCUCGAAAGCGUGGGGAGCAAACAGGAUUAGAUACCCGAGUAU
rnacentral:rRNA from 1 species